UACGUAGGGUGCAAGCGUUAUUCGGAAUUACUGGGCGUAAAGCGUGCGCAGGCGGCUUUGCAAGACAGAUGUGAAAUCCCCGGGCUCAACCUGGGAACUGCAUUUGUGACUGCAUGGCUAGAGUGCGGCAGAGGGGGAUGGAAUUCCGCGUGUAGCAGUGAAAUGCGUAGAUAUGCGGAGGAACACCGAUGGCGAAGGCAAUCCCCUGGGCCUGCACUGACGCUCAUGCACGAAAGCGUGGGGAGCAAACAGG
rnacentral:rRNA from 1 species